rnacentral:tRNA from 1 species
GCGGGUAUGGUGAAAUGGUAGACACAGAAGAUUCAAAAUCUUCCGCGAAAGCAUGGGGGUUCAAGUCCCUCCACCCGCACCA